CCAAAAUCUACAAAAUGAUUUAUGACUGUAGCUCCUUUCUAGGCACCAACACUCACCAUGAAAUUGAUGGGAGGAUAGGAACCUAAAUAUGGAUCUUGCCUUGUGUCUUGUUGAUCCCAGUGCUUUGUCUUUAUAGCUGCUUUUUCUCUAACCUUCUCCAUAUUUCCUGGAGUCCUGAUUGACAACUAUUUCAAGGCUCACUUUGUGAUACAAGAAUGAAGGAAGAUAGUUGUUUCUGGGCUCCAACUACUGAGAUUUUGUGUUGACAAAAUGUGGUGUCUAACGUGUCUUGCAGUUUAUAUGGGAGGUCAGUCAUUACUCUGGCUUUGAAGGUGCUCUUGGACUGGUCCUUAUGUGAACUUGGCUGUCUAUCAGCAGCAUGACUACACAGUUUAGCUCUAUUCAGGCUAAAACCCAGGAGGACGGAAGCAGACAAAGAGGAAGAAGUCUGAGAAGAAUACAACAAUUCUUUCUUCCAGGAAAGUUUGGAUUGAGCACAGGUGCUGACCAGAGACACUUAGGAAAAGAUUUCUUACCUGAAGAUGUUACUUACAUCUCAUUUCACCAACAUGCUGACUGAAUUAAUAAAUGUAAUCCCCACCAACCUCA
rnacentral:lncRNA from 1 species